GGGCCGGCGAUGCGUCCUGGUC
rnacentral:snRNA from 1 species